CGUCCCGCCGGCGACCGGCGCACGGGUGAGUAACACGUAUGCAACCUGGCCGCCACAGGGGGAUAACCCGCGGAAACGCGGCCUAAUACCCCGCGACGCCACCGGAGGGCAUCCUCCGGUGGCCAAAGGAGCGAUCCGGUGGCGGAUGGGCAUGCGGCGCAUUAGCUAGACGGCGGGGUGACGGCCCACCGUGGCGACGAUGCGUAGGGGUUCUGAGAGGAAGGCCCCCCACACUGGGACUGAGACACGGCCCAGACUCCUACGGGAGGCAGCAGG
rnacentral:rRNA from 1 species